rnacentral:rRNA from 1 species
ACUCAAAUGAAUUGACGGGGACCCGCACAACCAGUGGAGCGUGUGGUUCAAUUCGAGACAAAGCGAAAAACCUCACCAAGGUUUGACAUGUAACCGUACAUUUAUUUGGAAACAUUUAGAAAUCCGCAAGGAUGGUUACACAGGUGCUGCAUGGCUGUCGUCAGCUCGUGCCGUGAGGUGUUCCCUUAAGUGGGGAAACGAGCGCAACCCGUGCCAAAUGUUAAAUACUCAUUUGGAACUGCUCUGUUUUUGCAGAGAGGAAGGAGCGGAAGACGUCAAGUCAGCACGGCCCUUAUACCUUGGGCUACACACACCCUACAAUGGCGAAAAACAACGGGCAGCAAGCUAGUGAUAGCAAGCUAAUCCCUGAAAUUUCGUCUCAGUUCAGAUUGCAGUCUGAAAUUCGACUGCAUGAAGUCGGAAUUGGUAGUAAUCGCGGAUCAGCAGGCCGCGGUGAAUACGUUCUCGGGUCUUGUACACACCGCCCGU